rnacentral:rRNA from 1 species
GCUUGAGUACUGUAGGGGAUAGCGGAACUCCUAGUGUAGGGGUGAAAUUCGUAGAUAUUAGGAGGAACACCGGAGGCGAAAGCGGUUAUCUGGACAGUUACUGACGCUGUUGCACGAAAGCGUGGGGAGCAAACAGGAUUAGAUACCCUGGUAGUCCACGCAG